rnacentral:rRNA from 1 species
UACGGGGGGGGCAAGCGUUGUUCGGAAUUACUGGGCGUAAAGGGCUCGUAGGCGGCCAACUAAGUCAGACGUGAAAUCCCUCGGCUUAACCGGGGAACUGCGUCUGAUACUGGAUGGCUUGAGUUCGGGAGAGGGAUGCGGAAUUCCAGGUGUAGCGGUGAAAUGCGCAGAUAUCGGGAAGAACACCCGUGGCGAAGGCGGUUCUCUGGGACGGUACUGACGGCUGAGACGCGAAAGCGUGGGGAGCGAACAGG